rnacentral:misc_RNA from 1 species
AGCUGACGUUGCCUAGGGUAUACUCCCACCCUUGUUAUACCUACCUAUCGUUGCUUUCGGCGGGGGGGCCCUCAGUCCCUCGCGCCCACCGGCCUUCUGCUGGUCAGUGCAGCCCGCCAGGAGGCCGUCCUAAACUAUAGUUGCUAAUAUUGGCUCUCUGAGUACUAUAUAAAUAGUCA